GUAAUAAAUCGCUGAUUUGCAUGAAAAGUAAAGCUAAGAAUCACAAUGAUCAGAAACAUAGUAUGCCAUAUUCAGUUUAACAAAUUUUCAAUUAAAGGUCUCAAUGGUUGCUGCUGUCCUGCUGUUUCCACUUCUAUUAAAGGAGAGUCUGAUAUCUCUUUAUGUCAUCAGUGAUGAACCACAUACACCCAACCCUGUGCUGUUUAUAAAGGGGCAUGCCUUGGAUGCAGAGUCUCUUUUAGAAAUAAUGAUGGAAGGGCAGGAGGAGGUCUUUGAAGUAGACUAUGCGAACACAGCUCUACACUUCUACACUUCUACACUCUACACUCUACACAUCAUCAACAAUCAAAGUUGAGAGACACCCUGACAUUCACUGAAAACUCUUUAAUGUACUUUUUUUAUUAAAUGAAUGUAUAUGUGGGAGACGGGGGAAGAAGAAGAUGGUGGAGAGGUCGCCGUUGUUAAGAAUCCUAGUAAUGCCGAUAUAAUGGAAGAAUUUAAAGGGAUGGAAAAACGAGUCGGCAAUAAGAUCGACGAGGUUCUUUCAGCGGUCACAGAGGUUACAAAGAAAAUGACGUAAGCAGAGGAACAGAUCUCAGGCACUGAGGACGAGAUUGUUCAAUUAAAGACUAGAGCUGAGUUGCUGGAAACGCAGGUGAAAUCGCUGUCGGAUAAGGUGGAUGAUUUGGAGUGUAGAAGUCGGAGGAAUAAUCUCAGAUUAGUUGGUCUUCCAGAGAAAGAGGAGGGAACAGAUGCAUGUGAUUUUUUGGAAAAGUGGCUGCCAGAGAUUUUGGAGAUGGAUCCAUCCAACACAUAGAGAGAGCCCAUCGGAUACCCAGCUCUAGUCAGGGCCGUAGAAGGCAGGAUGGUAAAGUGCCACCGAGAACAAUAGUCAUGAAGUUCCUUAAUUUCAAGCUGAAAGAGCAGGUACUAAAGGCUGCUAGAUUGAAGGGAUCCAUUAUAUAUAAGGAUCACAACUUCAUUUUUUCCCUGAUGUAUCAGCUGAGAUCCACAGAAAACAGAGGAGCUACAAUGCAGUUCGAAAAAGAUGACUUGAAAAGGGAAUAAAUUGGCACAGAAUCAUAUUUCUUGCA
ensembl:lncRNA